rnacentral:rRNA from 1 species
CACGUAGGGGACGAGCGUUGUCCGGAUUCAUUGGGCGUAAAGGGUGUGUAGGUGGUUGUGUUAGUCUUCCGUUAAAUUCUUCGGCUUAACCGGGGGCAUGCGGGGGAAACGGCACAACUAGAGGAUGGGAGAGGUUUGCGGAACUCAUGGUGUAGGGGUGAAAUCCGUUGAUAUCAUGGGGAACACCAAAAGCGAAGGCAGCAAACUGGCCCACUCCUGACACUGAAACACGAAAGCGUGGGUAGCGAAUGGG